rnacentral:lncRNA from 12 species
GUGGGAGGCCUCUGGGGGCAAAGUAAUGAAUAAAAUAGUCCUCGCAAAUCUUGACAAAAAGAAGUGAAACCAACAGGAACCAUGAGAGACGGUCUAAAUCAGGUUAUCAGGCUGUCAGCCCAGGGCCUGCCCCAGAGCUGUGGAGUGAAUGAGACUGGCUUGUGGCCCAAGGCUCCAAGGAUCAGGAUCUCUGUAAUAUGUGAGUUCCUGUCCAUGAGAGCUGACUUGCACAGUCUUGAGAGCCCCUGGGGACAUUUUGCCUGGGCUCCAGGAACUGUACUCUCUGAUCACAAGGCUGGACAUACUACCUCCUCCUCUCUCAGGGGGGAAGAAGGCUAAGGAAGGAUAUCUUACUCUUUCCCUCCACUCCAGCCU